AAGUGAGAAGCGACUUCGCAAUCAGUUUCGACCUGAUCUUAGAUAAUAUCAAUUUUAUCCUCACUUU
rnacentral:tRNA from 1 species